CCUUCGCUUGGACGGCGCCGGAGGGCUUUGGCUCCGGAGGUUCUGCGCCUCCCUCCCGGCCCUGAGUCAGCCCUGAGGGGGCAGCAGCCGCCCGACCAGCCUUUCGCAUCCCGAGGGGCUCUCAGGAGGGGCCGCCAGGAGCCCCGCAGACCCGGCCUCUGCCCGGCCCCACCUCCGCCUCCCCCGCAGUCCUUCAGGCCCGUCCAGGGGUGGCCAUUUUCUCACUUGUGAUACAACCCUUGAAGGUGGCUCAUGUCACCUGCGUUUUGUGUCAUCUUUGCCCCCAGGCAGGUGCUGGGAGGUGGCUCUGGACGGGCUGAGCGUCAGAGCCAGGAAAGACCAGGGGGCCUCCAAAGCGGGAGAAGAUUCUUUACAGCUGGCAGGUUGGGGGUUCCCAAAAUAUUUGAGGGAGAGAAGUACCGGUGGACGGAAGUAGCUGCUGGAACUUUACCUGGUCCAGAAGACUUGGCCAGCGCUGAGUGGGGGUACCCACAAACCACAGGUGACUAUUGAUUGGCCACCUAGAGUUGCCUUUUUGGUGUGAUGGGGGAACCUAUAAAUUGAAUAGAAGGCACAGCGCAGUCCUAAACAAGCCUUGAUUCAGGAAGAUAAAUCUAUCUCCUCCUGUCCUACUAUCGCAGCACCAUUGAGUGUCCUGACAUACGGCAUUCUUGCAUGGUAUGGGAUCAGCUUUGUAGCGGACAAAGAAGGCUCUACAGAGAAUCAUUAAAACUGCCCAGAAUAUCAUCGGACUCCAGCAACCAGCCCUGGGACGACAUCUUCGAAUGUUGCUGUUUCAAAAAGUUGCAUAACAUUCUCAGACGCUCUUCCCAUCCUGCUUAUAAUCUUUUUGGACCGUUGCCUUCUGGAAGAAGAUACAGAACAAUUAAAACUCGGACCACACGUCUUCUGAAUAGUUUUUAUCCCGGAGCUAUAAUUGUACUCAACAAUGAACUAAAGGGCCACCAUCAGUGAGCUGUUGGACAGCA